AUGGACACGAGCCGUGUGCAGCCCAUCAAGCUUGCCAGGGUCACCAAGGUGUUGGCAGGACCGGUUCUCAGGGACAGUGCACGCAGGUGCGCGUAGAAUUCAUGGACGACACGAGCCGCUCCAUCAUCCGAAACGUGAAAGGCCCCGAGCGCGAGGGCGACGUGCUCACCCUGUUGGAGUCAGAGCGAGAGGCUCGGAGGCUGCGCUGA
rnacentral:lncRNA from 1 species